UAGGGAAUCUUCGGCAAUGGGGGCAACCCUGACCGAGCAACGCCGCGUGAGUGAAGCAGGUUUUCGGAUCGUAAAGCUCUGUUGUAAGAUAAGAACGUGUGUGAGAGUGGAAAGUUCACACAGUGACGGUAACUUACCAGAAAGGGACGGCUAACUACGUGCCAGCAGCCGCGGUAAUACGUAGGUCCCGAGCGUUGUCCGGAUUUAUUGGGCGUAAAGCGAGCGCAGGCGGUUUAAUAAGUCUGAAGUUAAAGGCAGUGGCUUAACCAUUGUUCGCUUUGGAAACUGUUAAACUUGAGUGCAGAAGGGGAGAGUGGAAUUCCAUGUGUAGCGGGGAAAUGCGUAGAUAUAUGGAGGAACACCGGUGGCGAAAGCGGCUCUCUGGUCUGUAACAGACGCUGAGGCUCGAAAGCGUGGGGAGCAAACAGG
rnacentral:rRNA from 1 species